UCCCUUCACCGAAAUAUGCAGCAAAGAAAGGGUUUUGAAGCUGGAAAAUUUCAGCAACAUAUUUCCCUUGCUUAUGAUGAAAAUUGAGACUUGGACCUAGAACGGAAAGAAAUCGAUUUAUGGACGAGUACGUCCUUUUCACAUUUGUGGUAUCGAGAGUUUCCAGGUUAGCUCGGGUUGGAGGCUGUCGGAGAUAUUAUCACCCUAUCGAGUUAACGUUAUCGAUAAGUAAACUCAAGUGAUUCGAGUCUAUGGCAUGUAUAGGGUUUUAAUGUGAGUAUGUAAUAUUAUGAUUUAGCCAAAGGCAUUGGCUUGUUAUUAAGGUAGUAUUAGUCAUGUAAAUUGGCCUAUGUCGGCUAAUGACAUUAUGGGCCCAUAUGAUUAUUCUUAUGCAUGUAUGUUAUUAUCUCUUGUGAUGUGGCUUACAACAUGUAUGCCUAGAGAUUGAAUUGAGAUUCAUUGAUGAGCUAGUAACUAAUGCAGGAUUAAGUGAUUGGUAAAUAGUUAAUAAUGCUUCAUGAAUGGUUUGUGAUGUAAUGAUAGUUAUGUCUAGUAUGUGGUAAUGAUAUGGGCAAAUUCUAUAAUAUUUAUUGUAUAAGAAAAUAACUUGAGCAUAA